rnacentral:lncRNA from 1 species
UCAUAAACGGAAUAGUACAGAAAAAGUUGCAAGACACAGGAUAUCGAUAGCUUGGUAUUGUUCCAUCCUUGAACGAGCAUGGAAUUACAGCCUCCUUCCUCUUCUACCACCCUUCCGGCGAGUGCUGUCAGUUGGGACUGGAGUAACAUCCUCUGCUCAACAGAAAAGAAAAACAUAUGGAUUAACCCACUGUAAGAUAUCAUAAAUUAAACUGGAAAAAUUAAGCUUCAAAUCACAGUAAACUGACAUCCAAGGCAAAAUUAAAUCAACAUUGAUCAUAAUGUUAUACUAUGAACAGAAAGGACAAGCAAAACAUCAGUCCAUAUCAAAACCAAGGAAGCCAGGUAACGAAACAAUUCCAUGAACUAUUGACAUCCAGACAAAACUAAAAGAAAAAAAAAAGCCUUGCAAAUACAAUGUCUAGCAGAUUAGAUUUAUCCCAGAAGCAAAUGAGAUGAAAUGCCACGGCAAAGCAUACAAGAGGGCAUCAAAGGAUUACCAAUGCGUCCAAUCUUCAUGCCAGAACGUGCAAGAGCUCUAAGCGCAGCUUGAGCACCAGGACCUGGAGUUUUUGUCUUGUUUCCACCAGUAGCACGGAGCUUAAUGUGCAGAGCAGUAAUUCCAAGCUCCUAAACAGGAAAAGAUUACCAUAUGUAUCAGUGGAUUCAACAAAUUUGGGUACACCAUAUUUGAUCAUGCAACAAAUCAAUUUUUUAAUACCUUGCAUCUUACAGCAACAUCCUGUGAUGCAAGCAUAGCUGCAUAAGGGGAUGAUUCAUCACGAUCAGCUUUAACCUUCAUCCCACCUGUAAAAUGUAAUUGUUCAGUACAAACACAAAUUUACAAGAUGCGAUAAGAAUCUAAUAGAUGUUAAGUAUCAGAGAAGAUCGUACAGUCAAUUACUCAUCAGUGUGUGUCAUGGCAGAUACAAGUUUUAGCUAGGAAGGUAUAAAUAGCCUAGAAAAAACAUUCAAGUCAUAGCGAACUCAGUUUCUACUGGUAAAUGCAGAGAAGAAAAUUGGCCCUGCAGAAUGCAUAAUAAAACUGGCAUGGGAGAACUCAUCUGUACAGAGGUACAGAUAAAUUAUAAAAACUGCACAGGCUCAAUUACUGAAUCUAAUCAUUUGGCCGCAUAAUAAUGACUUCACUCCUUCAAACACCGACACAAUACAACACAUUGAAUAUUCUACUACUAAUACAUAUUAUAUUCCAAAAGAAAUCUCAAUUGUUCUGAAGAAAUUAUACAGCCAAGAUCUAAAAUCUUCAAAUGUAAAUUGUACAAGUAAUCACAAACAAAAGAAUGUUCUUCCAACAUUUAGAUGGCUCCAUUUUAAUUGACAAAGAGUUGCAAGGGUGUAGAACUCUGCAGAAGCAAGACAGAGAACUGCUGCUUCAUACCGACCAUACAUCACAAGAAACUUAAUGGCAAGAUGAAGACACCUGUAAACAAAAUUGGAAGUUGAGUUCUACAGAAAAACUCUCAAGAGCCUCAUAUGAAUCUUGCACAGCAAUGACUCGACACGCUCCCACAGAACAAAAGGGAGGCGAUCUUAAGGGCGGUGCUUACAAAAGGUUGAUAGGAUUAAGAAUGAAACACAAUAGCAAAGACAGCAUGACCAGAAGAGCUUCAAGUUGGUUCAUAACAAGUGAGCAGGACAAACAGAACUCAACAAUCUCACUCACAUAAGAACCUAUAAUUUUCACAGAAAUAGAAGACCACAGCCAGAUCACAAACUGAAGAGCCAACAGUUCUUGGAUAAGGAUAUGUCGCUCAAAUACUCUAUUGUGUUUCUGCACGAACCAAUUCCAUUAAAUAAGAAUAUGUUCGUUCAGUGAAAUUUUUUUACAUCAGAACCCACCAACAUGGGUGACAAAAUGAAUUUGGCUCAGCGAAACAGUCAUAUCAAGCAUGUUCACUUCCAGAAUUUAGGCAGCUCCAUCUAAUGUCACAGAGAGUUGCAAGAGUGAAGAACACAGCAUGAGCAGUGCAUAAAGCAGCUGCUGCCUGCUGGCUACAUGCACUACAAGAAACCCAAUGAAAUGAUGGAAACAGCUAGAACUAAAACAGGAAGAGAAGAGGUUCCAGAGAAGAACUCUCCGGAUCCUCGUUUUCAAUCUUGCAUGGCUAUGACUCGACACGCUCCCACAG